rnacentral:rRNA from 1 species
UCUGGAAUGAGCGGCGGACGGGUGAGUAACACGUGGGCAACCUGCCUGUAAGACUGGGAUAACCCCGGGAAACCGGGGCUAAUACCGGAUAAUACUUUCUUUUGCAUAAAGGAAAGUUGAAAGGCGGCUUCGGCUGUCACUUACAGAUGGGCCCGCGGCGCAUUAGCUAGUUGGUGAGGUAACGGCUCACCAAGGCGACGAUGCGUAGCCGACCUGAGAGGGUGAUCGGCCACACUGGGACUGAGACACGGCCCAGACUCCUACGGGAGGCAGCAGUAGGGAAUCUUCCGCAAUGGACGAAAGUCUGACGGAGCAACGCCGCGUGAGUGAUGAAGGUUUUCGGAUCGUAAAACUCUGUUGUUAGGGAAGAACAAGUUGGGUAGUAACUGACCCAACCUUGACGGUACCUAACCAGAAAGCCACGGCUAACUACGUGCCAGCAGCCGCGGUAAUACGUAGGUGGCAAGCGUUGUCCGGAAUUAUUGGGCGUAAAGCGCUCGCAGGCGGUCCUUUAAGUCUGAUGUGAAAUCUCGCGGCUCAACCGCGAACGGUCAUUGGAAACUGGAGGACUUGAGUACAGAAGAGGAGAGUGGAAUUCCACGUGUAGCGGUGAAAUGCGUAGAGAUGUGGAGGAACACCAGUGGCGAAGGCGACUCUCUGGUCUGUAACUGACGCUGAGGAGCGAAAGCGUGGGGAGCGAACAGGAUUAGAA